CUACGCGUUAAUUCCUGCCUCAUACGCUUGAAGAGCGGUCCGAAAAAAUGUUUUGGAACGGUAAUCUCUUGUUCUGAAGCCUAACCAGGCUUCAGAACAAACACAAAUAAUAAAACACAAAUAAUAAACGCACGAAGUGGGCCUGCAACCCCGACGCGCAGCUGACGUCACAGAUCGGAAUUUCCCAACAGCCACAGUGCGCCCGCAGACAGAAAUCCUCCGCGGUGCGACCUGGUGCGCAGCUUUACUAUCUCGCAGUUAUAUAAAGAAAAUGUUAUUUAAGAAAACAGCAAAAUAUAAUAAGAAAAAGAAAACAUUUUCUUUACGAAGCUAAUUUGAAGAAAACAAAAGUUUGUUUCGCAUGAUAUUAAGAACUACAUUUCUUCUUGGCGGAAAGAUACAAACUGGAGUGUGGGACUAUAAAAUGCGAUGUGACGUUCUUCUCGGUAGAACUUCUCGCAGAGACGUGGGUUGGAGCGCACGGCCGCGUGUCUGCGAUAAGUUCCCACCACCAACUCCCGCCCCCACGGCGCGACUACCCGCCCGGAUGUCGACGUCCGCUGGAAGGGAGUGAGUUCUCGGUGGUCGCAGUAAUUGCUUAUUUGUGUAUAUAUAGCUGUAUCACUAUUGUAAAUAGUCCAUCGCAGAUUGUACAUAGCCAUAGUCAUGAGAUUAAACUUAAUAAAUUAUUGUCUAGUUGUGCAGUCCAUAAUUUUGUCUCGAAGCGGCCGCCAUCUUGGUAGGCUUAGCGCAGUCAAACAUGGCGUCGUUCUUCCUCGGGGCUAAUUGCACGCGUCGUACGACUAAGGUUGCGUCACCUCAAAACUAUUGCGGUUUCGCUUAAUGGUCAAAGCUGCGUAUUCUCGCGGUUUCCUGCCCUGCUGAAACUUAUUCCGCUCUUCGCACAAUUUAUUAAAAAUCUGUUCACGUCGUCGCGGCCAUUUACUUGCAUUUCUUUUGUCUGUAGGUGACAUGAUCGAUUCCAGGGUAAACGGUUCUCAGUCUUCGCUGCAGUUAACUUGAAGAAUGGAUUACUUUCUUGUUUUGUAAUAGAUAACCCAAGCCGAAGAGAAGACUUCGAGCGACCUUUUCGUUUUAAAGCGACUUGCGUUUCAGGAUAGAGGCCUUCUUGAGUGACCACCAAGGGAACACUACGGUAAUAAGCAAGUGAACGCACAGACCCCAGCGGAGUCGUCGGAGCAUGAACGCAUUUGAAAUCCUCGUCGUCUUCGCUGCACCACAGUCGCGAUUUCACUUCUCAUUCCACUGGGUUUGCCCGUUCCUCUUUCUUGGCAUGGCAUAUAUUGUGUCCAGUUAAAUUCACGGAUUUUGUGCAGUUAGCGUGGUUACAGCUAUUUUCAUGUUUACCUGUUACAAUUGAUGUAUGUUCGAGACUUAAGUGUUAUCAACCUUAAUACGAUUUGCUAUAGGCAGUUGCAAUUCGCAGUUGGAGACUUGCUGUUAUCAACCUUAAUACAGUUUGCUUUAGGCAGGCGUAAUUUUGCAUAACUUAACACAUUAAUAGUUGGUAUAGUCCCUUCAUAGGCAGUUAGAGCAAGUUCAUUCGAAAAACCUGAUGCCUGCAUUUUGCUUCUGAUUUUUCUUUCCCAUUUCUUUAGCUCCACCAAGGUCAAUGUUCAGAGAAAGUGACCAGACUAAAAGUUGAAAGUACUGGAAAGGAUCUGUAUGGAAAAAGCGCAAGCAGUAUAUUAAAAACAAGAAAGUUGUCAAGGGAAACCUAAAGAAGCCACUGCACUGGUUCAAAGGAAACACUGAAGCAGGUGGUUGGAAGUUGACAGCUAUGAAGUGUAAAUGUCCCAGCCAUCUGAAGAAAUCUCUAGCAAGUUGCAUAAUGGGUCUUCACGCGCGGUAAAAGUUAAGUAUGCUUUCCUUUAGAAGAGCUGCACAUUGAAGUUUAUCAAGUUGCAUGUUCAAGUUGACGUACAAGCCUUGGAAGUAUACAGUACCGAAUUCUCCAGCGGCACAUUGGAGUUCGUGCAUUCAAGCUAGAAGUAUACGGCGUCCGAUAUUCUAGUGCGCUCAAGCUAUGAAGUAUACAUGCUCAGUUCUCAAGUUGUACAUUGAAGUUCGCAUGCUCAAGAUAUCUGUACAGUAGCCAGUUCAAGUUAGCAAAGCAUACACUGCCCAGUUUGUACAAGUUGUGCAUUCAAGCUAUGAAGUAUAGUGCGGUAUAUUCAAGUUGAAGUUGAUGUACUCGAGCUCUGGAGGAAUACGAAGUUUCAAAAUUUUUAGAGCUGACUUAACAAGUUUUCAAGUCGCAUACAAGCAUGAAGUAGUACCAGUUGGAAGAUUCGAAGUGGAGGGGGGGGGAAAGUGACUGGCUGAAGUUGUGUACAGACGAAGAAAAAAACCUUUGAGAGCAAGGCAAAGUAGGUUGUACCUAUAUCAAGUUGCAAGAUUCACCUUGAAGGAAAACAUUUCCCAGCAAGUUUCGCCACGGGUGGGGGGGGGGGGGAGGGGUAGGGGUAACUGACCAAACUUUACUUAUGCAUACAGCCCAAGAAGUCCGAGAUCAAGUCAAAAUAGGUUGUAACCUGCGUCCAAGUCCCAAGAUUGCCCUCGAAGGAAAAAUUAAUCGGCUAGCAAGUUUUGCCACGUUGCAUCGGAAUUGGUUUGCCCUUUUUAUCUUUUUAACUAGAUGUGUGAACUUGUGCUGCUUUAGGCUAUUGCGCGAGCGAAUUUUCAUGUCGUGCUUUGGUACUUAAAUCCGUAGCAGCAGCACUUUAGCAAGGCUAGGCACGAAGCCUAAGAGUUGGAGGCUCAAGCACGUUUGUUUUGCAGGUAAUCGUGGUCGAGGCCAGACAAGAUUAGCGACUAAUGGGAUCAAGGAAUCUUUCAUUGAAAUUAAGUGGGACUGAGAAGAGAUCGGAAAGUAAGGCAGAGAAGGUGCCAUCCAACAGUGGGUACUCUGGCUUAGGUCCUGACAAUUUCGUUCUCCGGUGGUUCACAGGUAUUCGUGAGUUUCCUUGUAACAAUCCUGCUAUUGUUUUAUUGAUAUUUUGUUUGUACACGUCUCGAUGCUUGUUGCCCGCAAAUCAUUUCCCCCUUUGUUUUCGAAAUGCAUAUCCGGAAAGCUCACUUUUUGGCCCCAUUUUGCUCAUUCUGUGGCAUGUCGUGCAUCGUAGAUUUUUGCUCUUGGCGGGGUGGGAAGGGGGCGUGUUGUAUGCCUUGCUUUUGAGCCAUUGCAGCCUACUAGGUACCACAUGACUCGCAUACCUCACCCGGAUGACAUAGGCCUUCCUAGUGACACCAACACUACUGCGACUUUUCACGUGGUUCACCGUGGCCUGGAGCCCCUGCAUUUGCUUUCUUCCAUUCUGCCUGGUGCGCCGUGAUCUUGUUUUCAUUUUCUUCAGCUGCACGGAAAGCCUUUAGUAAGCAAUUUGUGAAUGGGGUUUGGUUCUUCCUGUAAGAUUGCACGGAUUGUUUCAUAUAACGACCAACUGCAAAUUGUGCUUUGCUUGUCUUACGGAUUGGGUAUUGCAAGGCUUUAUAAUGCUUUAAAUAAUGAGCGUAGGGGGAAGAGGAUUAAUGUGCAGUUAUUGCAAGUCUGCAGUAUCACCCGCGUUUGAGCACAUGGACGCAACCUGCUUUAAGCAUUGCAUGUAAUUUCUGGGCACUUGUCUUGUGGAGCAAUGUGGGCUGUGGCGGGGGGGGGGGGAGGGAGUUGAUGGAGCGUGUUUUUGCAGGAGCUAGAUGUUCAUUGGCGUAAAGGAGGAGCAAGCAAACCCUACUGCUGUCUGCAGUCGUGAUUCUUGCGGGUAAGGGGUUAGGGGAGGUGGGUUAUGGAAUUUUGUGGAAGUUGGUGUGCAGUGCCGAGAACCCUGUCAUUGGCGGGAUCUGGAACAAGAGGCACUGUUGUAAGCUUUCUUUCCUUUUGGGUGGGGAGGGGGUCUUCUUUAAGCCUUGUGUCCUAUGCGCCCUACAGUGUGGUGUAAGCGGCAGUGCCUGUCUGCACAAGAGGACCAAACGUAAGCAUUGUAAACUUUGUAAGUGUUCCUUGUGGUAGAGGAAUUCAUAAAUUUGGGUGGGGGGGGGGGGGUUUAGUGGGGUAAUAACAAAAAAAGGGGGGAGGUGAACUAGUGCUAUGGGAUUUUGCAGCAUGAAUCGCCGAAUUAGGGGCUAUCCAGAUUGCGUAGUUGCGUUAUAUUAAGUGUUCUGCGAGCUGUUUGUUGGUGCUGUGUGUGAGGGGGGGGCGUGCAUGAGUCCUUGCAGUUCCGUGCUGACCCCCCUAGCUUCCUUCCUUCGUGUGGUGCGUGCCAUCUCCACUGGCUGGCUGGCAAAAACGGGACGCGGUUCCCGGUGUGCAAGUUUUCGGGUCUCGAGUCUUCGCGGAGAUUGGUGCAGGGAGUACCGCUGUAGACCUUGACAACUUUGUUUCUGGCUAUUGCCUCUUUCUCUGCUCAACGCGUGGCUUUGGGCCCGCCGCUUAUCUUACCGUUGGAAUGCGUGCGCACCUAGGCGGGGAGUCGAGCAAAAACCCCCUGUACCUCCCGGUGGCCGAGCCCUGGUUCCUUAACGCUACUACUGGCCCUGGAGCGCCCUGGCCCUAAAGCCUGCCCGCCGCGAAGACUAAAGGCUGUGCCAAGCUUCUCGACCGGGCUGCCGCGAAAGGCAAUUUCUUACCUCCUGCUUCCCGGCUGUCGCUGUUACGAGGACAUCGUGGUGUGCACGUGGUUGCCCUCCCCCGAAGGUUUGCAACGGGGCUUUUGCUUUUAAACUUGCUGUUCAUGGGGCUGUGUUCUGGGCUGUUUCAAUGUUAAGGGUGGGUGAGUUUGUGGGAAGCUUGUCGGGAUUUAGCUAGCCUAUGUGAAAUCAGCGGGGGUCUGACGGUGAUCACCUUGACGUCUAAGGUUAGCCAGGCAGCGUUGCGUUACGGUGGGUGUGGGAAGCGGGCGUUUUCUUGCAGCUCCUGGCGUGAGUGGUGACGUGUGUGCUAUGCGGUGCCGUUGCGCGGGUGAGAGGCGUCUCGUUCCGGGCGUGGCUGUGUCAAGUCCGCCGUCGCAUUUGUGUGCCGCGAUGCCUUCCGACCGAGGCAGGAAAGGGAGAGCAAGGCGCUUCGGCGAGGGUCCCGCCACGGCUGGGGUUCGAGCGAGGGUAGCCGCGCCGGCUUCUUCGGAGGGUGUGCGUCCGCCUCGUCCGGGCGGUCGUCGGUCUCCGCGGUGUCCGGUUCCUGUGGUUCCCGUGCUUUCCCGGUGUAGUGUGCGAGGACUGUCGGCGACGCGUCUUCGUGCGGGUUGAGGCGUGCCAGGUUCUCCCCUUCGUCGUUGGAGGAUCGUCGUCCUAGUGUUGUCCGCCUUCCUACGGUGGAACUCUUCGGUCCGGAUUUCCAAGAUGGUUUCUUUCCCCUGCCGUGAGUGCCCCAGCGCGGCCUCAUUCGCGUCAUCGCCAGCCUGCGGCCAGUCUACCGAGAUGCCAUCUCAGCUACCUUAGAAUUUCAAGCCCCUUCAUGAGCCAAUUCCAUUGCCGAAAUGUCAUCGCAGCUACCCUAAGAUAGCAAGUCCGACACCUAGUAAAAGUGGAAUUUAGAUUCACUAUAGAUUUCAAGCCCUGCAUUAUUUUCUGUUACUGUUGCGAAGAGGCUGAGCAAGUCUGACACCUAGUGCAAGUGGAAUUUAGAUUCACUAUAGAUUUCAAGCCCUGCACAAUUUUCUGCUAAUGUUGUGAAGAGGCUGACAAGUGCAACAUCUAGUACUUGAAUUUAGAUUCACUGUAGAUUUCAAGCCCUGCAUUCUGCUGAUGUGGAGAGGCUGAGCAUCCAAGAAAAUUGCACAUAUUUAAAUCUUGCCAAAUUGUACAUCAUUAUGAAUAUGAAAAAGCAUUUGGAGCUGAAGAUUCAGAUAUUUAUUCCCACUGAUGCUUUGAAGAACUUGUUCAAAUACCUGUAAAAUUGUACUAGCCUUAUGUAAUGCAAAAGCAAUAGUCCUACAAAAUAAGUACAUUUAUAGAACAUUGUGUUCAGUUGUAAAUAGGCUUGAGUUGCAAUUACCAUUGCACUUUAUUGCAAAUGGGCCCUUCUAACUACUCGAAAGCUUUUUAUGUGCAUAACUGAUAUUACUAAUGACUUCAUCUUGCAAAUGAGAACUGUUAGCACGAUAAUGUAUGAAAUGGGCACCUCGACUACCAGAAGCUCGAGGCACUUGGGUGGAAGUUGGAAUUGCUUAUUUGUCAUAGAGAAAUGCAGCAGUGCAGCUAUAGUCUUCAUUUGUCCCUUGAUGUGAAAGGCUUUCAAGUGGUACUUUCCCCAUUCAACUGCAGAAAUGUUUUUGUUCAUGCAUUCAGAAUAUUGCUGUAGGUACCGUCAUACAUUCAGCCUCAUAAUUUAUCCGUAUGAUUUAAGCUUCUCAAUUGCCACCAAUAUGCAUUCAGUUUAUUGCACGCAUGCAUGAGAAAUUGAUGAGCAAAAAAGCUCAUGUAAACAUAUCCUAGCACUUCCUAAUGCUAUGUCCCAUGGUCUUUGAAACGCAAGCAUGCCCUGCAAGUUUUCCUAUGGAACAUCAUGCACAUUUGUGAAAUGCGAGGCUUUUUCCUAAACUUCGUGCAGGGUGCACAAGACGUGCCAUUUACUUGUAUACAUUUAGGCACCAUACAUUUGCACAGGCAGUUUGAGUGUACCCAACAGCUGCCCAUUCUUAAUAAUAGCAGGGCAGGCUGUAUAAGCAUACUAAAAAUUAUUGCGCUGAACUGCAUGCCAUAUUGGGCAUCGUGACAUAGUGCAUAGCAUACUUGUGAUGACUAUUUCCUAUUAAUAAGCAAGAUUAUUACACUAUAGACUUGUAGGCUGUAAAAGUGUGCUGACCAAGUUACAAACAGCUGUGUGCAGUAAUUAGCAGCACUUACUAUAACUAGUCCACAUUGGCAGGGUAGUUGCACAUUCCUUCAUUAAAAUGUUUGUCUGCAACCCGAGAAAUGCAAUUUGCCUGCAGUACAAUCCUUGCUUUGCAAGGUCUGAUAUGCUUGGCACAUUUGUUUUCUGAGAGAUGUUGGUAUGAGAUUUAAUUCUUGUAGAAUCAUACUGCUGGCAAUGAAUGAAUCGUAUGAGGUGUCAAUGUGUCGCAACUUCGUCUACAACUGUCUUCCCGGUACUUGUAUAUAGAUCUUGAUGUAUUUUAAACUAUUCCAUAAUGGAGUACUUCCACAUGCUACAACUGUCUUCCCCCUCUACUUGUAUAUAGAUCUUGAUGUGUUUUAAGCAAUUCCAUAACAGAGUACACAUUUUUCAACUACUUGGUACAUAUAUGCUGCAGUAUUUGAAUGUUCGUAGAGCUUUCUACACAAGCUACUCUGCAAUUUGAAGUUUCCAAUUGUACAAUCUGUAAAGGCGUGAAGGGUAUUGAUGCAUUCAGCUGCAAAAUCAUGGUAGGUUAUGCUCUCUGCGUGCAAUAGCCACGAGGUUUUUGAGUUUUUUGCAUUGACCAUUCAUAUUUAAUGCCUGCAAUUAGCAGCAGUUUCAACAUCGCCCUGAUAAAUUUUCCCGUUUAUUCCAUCCAAACUUUCCUUUAACUGUAUGGUCAUAAGGCCUGCAUUGACAAACGUUGCUGUAAAUAAGGUCAAUAGGUUCCACAAACAUAAACCCAUGAAAAGAAUUUCUACUUAUAAAAUCCAAUGCUAAUAACAUGGCUAGUUGAAAAAAGUGGUGUGGAAUCCGGGGCAGGUGCCAGGGGAGAAGGGAGCCUGCCAGAAAAAAAAGCUUUAUUAACAGCAACGUUUUGGCUGUUGUCCUGUAAGCAACAUGAUAAACACUUAAUCAUAUUCCUGUGAGCAACAAAAUAUAAUACUUGCCAAAAUGAAAUAAAGAAUCUUUAAACCAUGUA
rnacentral:lncRNA from 1 species